UACGUAGGGUGCGAGCGUUGUCCGGAAUUAUUGGGCGUAGAGGGUGCGUAGGCGGGUCUUUAAGUCAGGGGUGAAAUCCUGGAGCUCAACUCCAGAACUGCCUUUGAUACUGAAGAUCUUGAGUUCGGGAGAGGUGAGUGGAACUGCGAGUAUAGAGGUGAAAUUCGUAGAUAUUCGCAAGAACACCAGUGGCGAAGGCGGCUCACUGGCCCGAUACUGACGCUGAGGCACGAAAGCGUGGGGAGCAAACAGG
rnacentral:rRNA from 1 species